AGUAAAAUGGCUGAUAAAGGCAAUAAAUUGUAAAUUUAUUUAUAAAUAUUAAUAUUUUUUUACUA
rnacentral:tRNA from 1 species